GAUAAACGCUGGCGGCGUGCAUGAGACAUGCAAGUCGAACGAAGGAUCGGGCUUGCUCGAUCCUUAGUGGCGGACGGCUGAGUAACGCGUAGGUGACCUACCCCGAAGUGGGGAAUAACUGCCCGAAAGGGUGGCUAAUACCGCAUGUGGUCGCACGUUCAUUCGUGCGAGUAAAGCCGCAAGGCGCUUCGGGAGGGGCCUGCGUCCGAUUAGCUCGUUGGUGGGGUAAUGGCUUACCAAGGCGACGAUCGGUAGGUGGUCUGAGAGGACGAUCACCCAGACUGGGACUGAGACACGGCCCAGACUCCUACGGGAGGCAGCAGUCGGGAAUUUUGCACAAUGGGGGAAACCCUGAAGCAGCAACGCCGCGUGAGGGAUGAAGGCCUUCGGGUUGUAAACCUCUUUUGUCAGGGACGAUGAUGACGGUACCUGGCGAAUAAGCCACGGCUAACUACGUG
rnacentral:rRNA from 1 species